rnacentral:rRNA from 1 species
UGAGACAUAACAGUAGUCUAUGGCCAUACCACCCUGAAAGCAUCCGCUCUCUUCUGAUCUCAGAAGCUAAGCAGGGUAGAGCCUGGUUAGUACUUGGAUGGGAGACAUAAUAAUAAAGGCAGGAUUUAUUUUAA